GACGAACGCUGGCGGCGUGCUUAACACAUGCAAGUCGAACGGAAAGGCCUCUUUCGGGGGGUACUCGAGUGGCGAACGGGUGAGUAACACGUGAGUAACCUGCCCUUGACUUUGGGAUAACUUCAGGAAACUGGGGCUAGUACCGGAGAGGAGCUCCUGCUGCAUGGUGGGGGCUGGAAAGUUUCGGCGGUUGGGGAUGGACUCGCGGCUUAUCAGCUUGUUGGUGGGGUAGUGGCUUACCAAGGCUUUGACGGGUAGCCGGCCUGAGAGGGUGACCGGCCACAUUGGGACUGAGAUACGGCCCAGACUCCUACGGGAGGCAGCAGUGGGGAAUAUUGCACAAUGGGUGGAAGCCUGAUGCAGCAACGCCGUGUGCGGGAUGACGGCCUUCGGGUUGUAAACCGCUUUCGCUCAUGACGAAGCUUUGUGUGACGGUAGUGGGUAAAGAAGCACCGGCUAACUACGUG
rnacentral:rRNA from 1 species